rnacentral:rRNA from 1 species
AGUCGUAACAAGGUUUCCGUAGGUGAACCUGCGGAAGGAUCAUUACCUAGAGUUUGUGGGCUUUGCCCACUGUCUCUUACCCAUGUCUUUUGAGUACUUACGUUUCCUCGGUGGGCUCGCCCGCCGGUUGGACAAUUUAAACCAUUUGCAGUUGCAAUCAGCGUCUGAAAAACAUAAUAGUUACAACUUUCAACAACGGAUCUCUUGGUUCUGGCAUCGAUGAAGAACGCAGCGAAAUGCGAUAAGUAGUGUGAAUUGCAGAAUUCAGUGAAUCAUCGAAUCUUUGAACGCACAUUGCGCCCCUUGGUAUUCCAUGGGGCAUGCCUGUUCGAGCGUCAUUUGUACCUUCAAGCUCUGCUUGGUGUUGGGUGUUUGUCUCGCCUUGCGCGUAGACUCGCCUUAAAACAAUUGGCAGCCGGCGUAUUGAUUUCGGAGCGCAGUACAUCUCGCGCUUUGCACUCAUAACGACGACGUCCAAAAGUACUUUUUACACUCUUGACCUCGGAUCAGGUAGGGAUACCCGCUGAACUUAAGCAUAUC